UACGUAGGGUGCGAGCGUUUGUCCGGAUUUAUUGGGCGUAAAGGGCUCGUAGGCGGCGUGUCGCGUCGGGGAGUGAAAGCCCGUUGCUUAACGGCGGGUUGGCUUUCGGUACGGGCAUGCUGGAGUGCGGCAGGGGGAGACUGGAAUUCCUGGUGUAGCGGUGGAAUGCGCAGAUAUCAGGAGGAACACCGGUGGCGAAGGCGGGUCUCUGGGCCGUUACUGACGCUGAGGAGCGAAAGCGUGGGGGAGCGAACAGG
rnacentral:rRNA from 1 species